rnacentral:tRNA from 1 species
GCUUGGCUGGCUCAGUCGAAGAGCAUGAGACUCUUGAUCUCAGGGUUGUGAGUUUGAGCCCCACACUAGGUG